UUAACUAUUAUAUAGUACUCAGACAGUAUAGACAAACAGAGUUUAGGUCCUCUGGCAAGCGCUCGCCGGCCGGAGCCAGCAGCCCGAGGGCAGGCCUGCCAAAGCAACAAAGUGUAAUAAACAAAGGGUGGGAGGUAUACCCCGAAGGGCAACGUCUCUUUAAUGAUCCUUCCGCAGGUUCACCUACGGAAA
rnacentral:misc_RNA from 1 species